GAUGAAGAACGCAGCGAAAUGCGAUAAGUAAUGUGAAUUGCAGAAUUCAGUGAAUCAUCGAAUCUUUGAACGCACAUUGCGCCCCUUGGUAUUCCGGGGGGCAUGCCUGUUCGAGCGUCAUUAUAACCCCUCAAGCUCAGCUUGGUGUUGGGGCCUGCCAACUGGCAGCCCUUAAAAUCAGUGGCGGCACCAUCUGGCUCUAAGCGUAGUAAUUUCUCUCGCUAUAGGGUCCCGGUGGAUGCUGGCCAACAACCCCCAAUUUUCUAUGGUUGACCUCGGAUCAGGUAGGGAUACCCGCUGAACUUAAGCAUAUCAAUAAGCGGAGGA
rnacentral:misc_RNA from 1 species